GACAGAGGUGCCAAGCGUUAGGCGGAAUCACUGGGCUUAAAGCGUGUGUAGGCGGCUCGUUAAGUCUCUUGUGAAAUCCCACGGCUCAACCGUGGAACUGCUCGGUAUACUGGGUGUCUUGAGCCACUUAGGGGCUACCGGAACAAAUGGUGGAGCGGUGAAAUGCGUAGAUAUCAUUUGGAACGCCAAUGGUGAAAACAGGUAGCUGGGAGUGUGCUGACGCUGAGACACGAAAGCCAGGGGAGCAAACGGG
rnacentral:rRNA from 1 species